GACGAACGCUGGCGGCGUGCUUAACACAUGCAAGUCGAGCGGUAAGGCCCUUUCGGGGGUACACGAGCGGCGAACGGGUGAGUAACACGUGGGUGACCUGCCCUCAGCUCUGGGAUAAGCCCGGGAAACUGGGUCUAAUACUGGAUAUGACUCCAUGACGCAUGUUGUGGGGUGGAAAGCCUUGUGCGGCUGAGGAGUGGGCCCGCGGCCUAUCAGCUUGUUGGGGGGUGAUGGCCUACCAAGGCGACGACGGGUAGCCGGCCUGA
rnacentral:rRNA from 1 species